GUCUGCAUUUAGACCUGUAGGGGCUAGAGUGUUGAGAUUAAAAAUCCAUUUUGUUUCAACUUUUCCUAAUUUUCUAAUUUCAUCUUCCCCUCGCCAGUUAAGUGUGAUUUUCUGGAUAGCCAUAAAUUCUAGAAAUUGAGGGUCUUUAUUAUGUAUUAAACUAAAGUGUUCUGAAACACUAUGUUUAUCGUACCCUUUUUUAAUGUUUC